AAAAUCAUCCAAACAUAAUCUACUUCAAAAUAGCAAUCCUUGUUCAAUAACAAUACACAAAAGUAAAAUGACUCAAUUUCUACUUACAUUGCUAUGAGAUGUUUCCAUUAAUGUAACACAACAAUAACAAUACGCGAGUAAAGAAGAAAAUAAGAACUUUCACCAAUGCCAACAAAAUCUUCUCCAAUAAUAUAUACAAUAAAUUCAUCACCAACAGAAAAUAGAGUAAACAACACGCACACAUCAUCUAACAACUUCUUACAAAACCCAUACAUCAACAACAACAUUAUCAUUAAGAGAACGCAUAACCCAUGAGUUCAUGGUUCUACGAACCUCGAUACUACAAACGACCCCUUUUUUCACCGAACAACGCCCAAACCUUCGACAAAGGAGACACUUUUACUCGUUGAUCGAAAACGCGAGAGAAACAUAGAGGCGGAAGGGUACAACGCUAGUGGAGCAACAUUGGAGGAGGUCACCUUUGAGGUCGUAAUGGAUGAAAAAGGAAGGGCAAGUCGCGAGACAGAGAGAAGGGCAAAAUGGUGGCAAAGAAACGAGGUGAGAGAGAGGAAGAAUGGGAAAAAUGAUGGAAAAGAAAAGUGAGAACAAUAAUAGGAGCAAGUUUGUCGGCAACAACGGUGGAGAAGCAACACAAGAGAGAAGAGCGAGAGAGAGACAUGGGAGAGAGCAUACACUUAGGUGAUGGGGAGAGAAAGAAGAUAAACAACAAGGGUUGGUUUUCUAAAAUGAAUUUCUCAAAACCACAAAAACACUUUUCAUUCCAAAAACACCCUCAACGUAAGCUUUUUGUUUUUUUAAAAAAAUAUUUGAAACAUACCAAUCACGAGUCACCACCUGACAUUGACGAAAAAGUAUUGUUAAAAAAAUAUUUUCCAAUUAAGAAAUCAAAAUAAAGAUGGUAGAACUUGCUUGUAUGAUAUAGAUGUUGCAAAAUUAUCUAAACGAAACAUUAGUUUAACUAGCUGAAAAAGGUAAAAAAUUAUAAAAUUAUAAAAUAAUAUUAAAGUAUAAAAAUCUCCGAAGGUCAUUGAAGAGUUUCACCAAACUCCAUGGUGAGUGUUAAAUGUUUUUAUUGGGAUCUAGAAUAUACACCUUUGGUAGGUGACAAAAUUCUAGUG
rnacentral:lncRNA from 1 species